rnacentral:rRNA from 1 species
ACUCCUACGGGAGGCAGCAGUGGGGAAUAUUGCACAAUGGGCGAAAGCCUGAUGCAGCAAUGCCGCGUGUGUGAAGAAGGCCUGCGGGUUGUAAAGCACUUUUAUCGGGAAAGAAAAACCAGGGCUAAUACCCUUGGUCUUGACGGUACCCGUUGAAUAAGCACCGGCUAACUCCGUGCCAGCAGCCGCGGUAAUACGGAGGGUGCAAGCGUUAAUCGGAAUUACUGGGCGUAAAGCGAGUGUAGGCGGCGACGUAAGUCGGAUGUGAAAGCCCCGGGCUCAACCUGGGAAUGGCAUUCGAUACUGCGUGGCUCGAGUCGUGAUAGAGGGAUGUGGAAUUCCGGGUGUAAGCGGUGAAAAUGCGUAGAUAUCCGGAGGAACACCAGUGGCCGAAGGCGGCAUCCUGGAUCAA